AUCCUGGCUCAGGAUGAACGCUAGCGGCAGGCUUAACACAUGCAAGUCGAGGGGCAUCGGGAGUAGCAAUACUGCCGGCGACCGGCGCAAGGGUGCGUAACGCGUGAGCAACAUGCCCGUAUCAGGGGGAUAAUCCAUGGAAACGUGGUCUAAUACCCCAUAGUAAUUAUGUAAGGCAUCUUAUAUAAUUUAAAGCUUUGGUGGAUACGGAUUGGCUCGCGUGACAUUAGCUGGAUGGUAAGGUAACGGCUUACCAUGGCUACGACGUCUAGGGGUUCUGAGAGGAAGGUCCCCCACACUGGAACUGAGACACGGUCCAGACUCCUACGGGAGGCAGCAGUGAGGAAUAUUGGACAAUGGAUGGAAAUCUGAUCCAGCCAUGCCGCGUGCAGGAAAGACGGCCCUAUGGGUUGUAAACUGCUUUUGUAUGGGAGCAAUAAGGGCUACGUGUAGUCCGAUGAGAGUACCAUACGAAUAAGCACCGGCUAACUCCGUGCCAGCCGCUGC
rnacentral:rRNA from 1 species